rnacentral:misc_RNA from 1 species
GAAAUGCGAUAAGUAGUGUGACUUGCAGAAUUCAGUGAAUCAUCGAAUCUUUGAACGCACAUUGCGCCCUUUGGUAUUCCAAAGGGCAUGCCUGUUCGAGCGUCAUUUGUACCCUCAAGCUUUGCUUGGUGUUGGGCGUCUUGUCUCUAGCUUUGCUGGAGACUCGCCUUAAAGUAAUUGGCAGCCGGCCUACUGGUUUCGGAGCGCAGCACAAGUCGCACUCUCUAUCAGCAAAGGUCUAGCAUCCAUUAAGCCUUUUUUUCAACUUUUGACCUCGGAUCAGGUAGGGAUACCCGCUGAACUUAAGC